CACGGGGGGAGCGAACGUUGUUCGGAAUCACUGGGCGUAAAGGGCGUGUAGGCGGUUCGGUAAGUGGAAUGUGAAAUCCCCCCGGCUUACCCGGGGAACUGACAUCCCCGAUACUGACUGGACUUGAGUGCGGGAGAGGAUGGAGGAAUUCCUGGUGGUAGCGGUGAAAUGCGUAGAUAUCAGGAGGAACACCGAUGGCGAAGGCAGGUCUCU
rnacentral:rRNA from 1 species